rnacentral:RNase_P_RNA from 1 species
GGGAGCGGGUGUGACGGCCGCGGGCCCUUCGAGGGCUCGAGGAAAGUCCGAGCUCCACAGGGCACAGGUGCUGGGUAACGCCCAGGAGGGGCGACCCUCGGAAAGUGCAACAGAGAGUAGUCCGCCGUUGGUCUCUGGCCGGCGGUAAGGGUGAAAGGGUGAGGUAAGAGCUCACCAGCGGCCCGGGUGACCGGGUCGGCUAGGCAAACCCCACCUGGAGCAAGACCAAAUAGAGGAGGAGGGGUGGCCCGCCCCACUCGACUCCCGGGUUGGUCGCUCGACGCGCCGGGCAACCGGCGUGCAAGAUGGAUGGUCGUCCCCUCGGCCUCGGUCCUUCGGAUCGAAGCCGAAGGAACAGAACUCGGCUUACGGCCCGCUCCCCACU